GCCCGUGCCUCUCCCUCCACACCUCCCCGCAACUGAGGGAGCCGGCUCCGGCCUCGGCCAGCCCAGAAAGGGGCUCACACAGUGCAGGGCCGGGCUGAAGGGCUCCUUAAGGGCGGCCAGAGUUGGCGCCAAGGCUGAGGAGGUGCCCAGAGCGAGCGAGGGCUGCCAGGGCUGCUAGCAGGCUGUCACCUCUCAAUAGCAGUUUUGUAUAUGGGAUCUAGCCCCUCCCUAAGAGGUUGAUUCUAAGGAAGCCAACAGCCGUGUUGUGAGUACCCAAUGGAAAGUCUGUUGUGGCAGAAAACUGAUGUCUCCAGCCAACAGCACUGAGGCCCUGAGACCUGCCAACUGUCAUGUUACAUCUCAAGGAGAAGGAUUGCCAGAUCAAAAGUCUUGCAGUUAACCAGGCGUGGUGGCAGAUACCUGUAAUCCCAGCUAUUCGGGAGGCUGAGGCAGGAGAAUCGCUUGUACCCGGGAGGCAGAGGUUGCAGUGAGCUGAGACCGCGCCAUUGACUCCUGCCUGAUGACAAGAGAGAAUCUACGUCUCAACAACAACAACACGCUUGGGCACUGUAUUAACUCCAUAAUCGGUUUAUUCAUAAUGCUGCAUCAUCCAACCAUCAUCCAACCUAUUUAUCAUUCACAAUGCCACCUGUGAAUACUGGCUUCCAUUGACUCUUUCAAGAAUUGCUACUGGGCCUCACCAAUGUUGACCACAAAUGCAAGUCAUACUGAGAGCCUCUGUGCUCUUUCCCCUGUGGACAAUAACUACCAUUUCAUCCUGGACACCCAUUGUUUGCCUGGACCACACCUUGUUAUGACCAUAACCCUCAGUCAGACUCAACCUUCCUUCAAGAUCUGCAGAUCUAAAUUUUAUUGGGAACAGCUAGUUUGACAAGCAUAGACCAGAUGUCCAGUUGUCAUUCAUUCAGCAGGAGCAGCAAGAUUCAAUCAUGUUUUUAUUAUAUUAUUUCCUGAAACUUGUGGCUGUAACAAUGAAGUUUGAGGAUUGGUCUGUGUAAGUAUGGCAGAAGUGAUGUUAAGUCGCUUAUGAGAUUAGGGUAUAAAAGACUAAGGCUUCCAUGCUUCCAUCUUGGUCUCUGUCUCUCAGAGAACAGUCAUGUGAAUGAUUCUUCUUGAAAGUAAAUCUUCCAGCCCCAGUCCAGUAUUCAAAUGAUCCAGCAACAUUGCAACUUAUGAGAGACCUUGAGCCAUCCAGGUAACAUGCUUCCAAAUCCUGACCCUUAAAACCUGUAAAAUAAUAAAUGUGGUUUUAAACUCUUAAGUAAUUUGUUACAUAGUAAUAAAUAGCUAAUACACCGUC
rnacentral:lncRNA from 1 species